GAGCGGAUGAGAGGAGCUUGCUCCUGGAUUCAGCGGCGGACGGGUGAGUAAUGCCUAGGAAUCUGCCUGGUAGUGGGGGACAACGUUUCGAAAGGGACGCUAAUACCGCAUACGUCCUACGGGAGAAAGCAGGGGACCUUCGGGCCUUGCGCUAUCAGAUGAGCCUAGGUCGGAUUAGCUAGUUGGUGAGGUAAUGGCUCACCAAGGCGACGAUCCGUAACUGGUCUGAGAGGAUGAUCAGUCACACUGGAACUGAGACACGGUCCAGACUCCUACGGGAGGCAGCAGUGGGGAAUAUUGGACAAUGGGCGAAAGCCUGAUCCAGCCAUGCCGCGUGUGUGAAGAAGGUCUUCGGAUUGUAAAGCACUUUAAGUUGGGAGGAAGGGUUGUAGAUUAAUACUCUGCAAUUUUGACGUUAC
rnacentral:rRNA from 1 species